ACAGCUGCACUUCUGGCUCGAGUUUAUAAGCCACUUAUAUAUAGCAGUAUAUAUGCCUUCAUACAAUACCUUGCUUAAUGCCUUACCUCCCUUGAGGGCAUUAGGGAAGUUAGGGUAAAGCAUGGAUUCAUGGUGAAAAGUAGUUUGCUUUAGAGGGAAAGAGGCUAUUGCAGUGAAUAAGCAUUGACACGCACCACAUAAAGAUUUGGCCAGAGUGGCCACUAAAUCUGGAUUCCUAUUCAAAAUGAUUUACUUUUCCAAUGCAGCACAGCAGAAAACCAAGUUCUUUGAACCUGCACACCAGAAAGAAACUGUGAAUGUUUGGGAUUUACUGAUCACUGAAAGGAGAAAGGCUGGCAAACCUGGAGGAGGUUACCAAUAAGGGCACUGACCAUAUUGUUACCAUUAGCUUCCAGGAGAGCUGGAAUAGCAGCAGCCUAUUUUACUGUUCUUCAACCAGUUUCUCCAGGUUGAUCACACUUCACAGUAAAGCCAUCAAAACCAACAGCACCUUAGUUUUGAUGUACAGUAACUAUGGCAAAUGCUGUGGAAAUCUUCACAUCCAUCCAGACCGGGUUUGGCUUCCAGGAGAGCCAGUGAGGUGAUGGUCCAUGCAGUAGAAUAUUCCUACCAUGAACAAAUCAGGCAAAGUUUUACAAUAUCUGAAUUAAACUUUCAACUCAGACACUGUAAAACAGGAGCAGUAAUAUUCUGCCAAUGCCUCUUAUUGCCUUUAUUUGAACUGUAAAUUCUCUAGGAGGAAGUGCUCUCUUCCAAUGUGAGGUUGUAAAUCAGUUUGGAGAGCAUGGCCUCCUGGCACUGAAAUGAGGAUGGUUCGAGAGAGGUGUGCACUGGAAAGAUUGGCUUCCAGAAAAGAGACAUCAGCCUUUAAACAUGAUCUCUGUCACACAGCCCAAAGCCAAACAGCAGUAAGCAUUUCAAAAACUGAUUCCGCCAAGAAGGCAGCCAGAGCACGGGCAAGCAAGAAAAAAGGGGUUGCAAACAGCAGAGGAAUCAGAAAUCACUGGAAUGAAAAAGGACUAGCAGCAGGAGAGGAUGCAAACGGCUGGCAUCAAACUGCAUGAAUUAUGGCCUGGGAAAAGAAGAAGAAAAGCAGAAAGAUCUGAGAACAAACAGAAAAGCUUGGCAAAUGACUGCAGAGUUUGAAUGAUAACUCCAAGAAAGCUCCACUGAUUUCUAAAUAGCAGUUUAAGAUGUUAAGAUGAAUGAAAGAUAUUAGAGUGAAUUAGGUAUCAGAGCUAUAGACAGAAGGAUGGCAAAUGAUAAGACAGGCUGGCAGAGGGGAAAUAACCGUCAAAGCAUUAAAUAAGGAGAUCUCCAGUCAGCGAAGAUAUUAAAUGGUGAUCACACAGAAGAAAGAAGUGAGAAUGGACCUGAGAACACAACAUGUUCAGGGCAGAAAUGGCAAAGAUUACUGGGGCCUGAUAAGGGUUAAGGAAAGGUCAGAUAGAAUUCCAUUGCUUUUCCUCCAUGCAGAGGCACCUCGUCUUGUCUUUUUACCUCCCUGUCUUACUAGCUUCGGUUUGCACCACAGUUGUGUGACUUGUUUCUAGCAGAUGCUAUUUCAAGCAGCUUGAAAUGCGACCUUAGGUUUUAUGGCAACCUUCUCCCUACCCACCACCUCUUCUCAAGCCAUUUCCAGUUCAUUCCUGGCAUGACUGAAGUGCUGCACGAUAGCAUCUUUGCAAACCCCACGGGAGCAGCACGGGGCCAAAACAGAAUCCGUGCAUCUUGUUGCUUCUCAGUUUACAUUUUUUAAAGUCAGUUUAAUCCCACAUACUUAGUCCUGUAAGCAAGCAAUUUUAGAAAAUUAAAUAGGAAUUUCCCUGUGUGUUUAUGGCAUGCUCAUGAUGAUAGAUCUGUGUUUGCAGUUAAAUAUUUCCCUGCAGUGUUUACUGAUUAAACAUUCAAGGCACACAGGGAACGUGACUGCGGGCUUGACUGCAAGCCAGCUGAAGAGAGAAAAUGUCAUUGACUCAGUUGGUUUUUAGGACAGAUAAAACAGCCCAGACACUGGUUGGCAAAUAAAUGUGCACAUCUCUCUAUUACCAUUGAAGAGGGAGCUUUCUUUUAGGUACAGGAGCAUUUACAAGCCAUUUAACUCCUAAAAAACUUGUAAAUAGAGCAUGGAGCAGUUUCACUCUACAGAAGGAUAUACUGUAAAUGGUGUUGGGGUCACCAUUGAAACAAACUGCAUGUAAACCAAGCAGUGAAAUAUGCCAUAUUUGAAGUGUUUUGUAUAUUGCAGAAAGAGUCUUCAAACAAUGCAAGCAAUGAUAUUCAUUUCCAGAAACCAGUCCUGUAAAGUCAGGCUCCACUGAGUAUUACAAAGGUAGAAAGGAGGUUCACUACCAGAAGUGUGCCUAAAGCUAAUGCUACUUACGUGGUAUAAUCUGACUAGAAAUAUUGCGUACAAGAAGAAAAUGAGGGUCCCUUUGUCAUCAAAAAGUACCACUUUGGUUUGAUGAAAACACAUACAAACUUUUCUAAAAUGUAAUGUUAGUGUGGCAUUAUCCGUGAAUGAGAAAGAGGGAUAAAACUCGUUCAGUAGUAAAGCCACUUUGUUGCCAAGAGGUCAGUAGUUCAAACAGUCCUAUAUGCUUAGUAACAGAGUUGUCAAGAAAUGUAAGAUGCGAAUUUAGUCCCAUAAGUUAACCCUGCAAACCUGUAAUUAUGUGGUCUCAUAACUGGCAGGAGGAACCCUGGAGUAGGAGGGUUCGCCAGACUGCAUUUUUGGAGGUGCAGAACACUUAAACUCAGUCUUAAAGAGUAAGGUGCCUGCCAGUAUUCCCACCUGCCACCUUGGUUCCUGCUGCAACCCUACUGCAUCUCUUCCCAAUGUGCUUCCAUGGUCUUGUUUCAACACCACUGCCAUAUGCUGCUGUAGAGAAUGCUUCUGCAGAUCAUACAGGCACAAGGUGUUCUGACCCAAUCGUUCCCAGUUGCUUUAUGACAAGAUAAGCUCUUCCCUCUCAGGACCAGGUCUUUUAAUGCAACUGAAUCGUCCAAUGCUGCAGGGAGGCACUGCAGUGAGCUGCUGCUGCCCUCCAGCAGGGCUGGGCCGGGGGAGGUCUGGAGGCACUCAGCUGCCUACAACACAUGGACAAUUGGGAACAUCAGCCAGGAAAGCCCCUGGCUCCUCCUGUCAGCAGCUCGCAGUGGCAUGGCAUAAUGAUGUCAGAGAGUGCUGAAAUCCGCGGAAAAGAUUUCUGAAAGAAUGGAGUCAGGCAACUGCAUAAUUUUGUUACAAUAAGCCUGCAUAUUAUAUUGGCCAGAGUUAAGUUUUAUGGCUUUGCUUGACAUAGUCAAGCAUGGCUAUUACAAAGAGAAUGCAUCCUGUCUUUUCCUGAGCUACUUUUAUUGCAAAACCUGUUAUUCAUCAUACGUUUGGUCAAAAAACUGAAAUAAUGCUUUUUCAGAUUUGCUCUCAAACACUUCCUGAGCAAACAGUAAAAGUUAAAGGCUGGCAGUUCAGGACUGUUUAUUGUUUCGUGGGGCUGUGUUAGUCUGAGUAUGUGAUGAAGGGAAACACAAAAGCAUACGCUUUAAAAAAGGAAUUGAGAAGGAGAUACAAUUCAGAAGUAUCAUUUCAGCCUUCUCGGAUGUCUUUUUGAAUCAAUGUCUUCUGGCACUGUGUGGACUUGGCGAGACACCAACCUGAGCACAGUGAGACUCGGUAUCGCAGGCCGUCACAGACGUAGUCCCUGAAAACUGGGACAAACAGAAAACAAAGUAAGGAAAAAGCGAGCACGCAGAACAGAGCAGCUUGCUGCUUGAACUCAUCUGAGUGCAAACUCAGUGCUGCUGUAUCACUGCUUCGAUCAGAAGACAAAAGCAACCGCAGUUUCUAAUCCCCCACAGGUAUGAACCAAGAACAUUCUUUUUGUCUUACAGCUGAAACCCGGCACAGUAACAAUCCCAACAGAACACGGAAAGCACAGGAGCCACACCAAACUCAUUUCUUUCUCAUCCCCGCCAUAUGCUUUAGGUCAUAAAAGCAACCCACUGUCAAAUUAAGACGUUUCCACACCAGAAAUUCUAAGGAGAUCAUCUGGUCAUGGAGAAAAAAAUCAAUGAGAUAUGUUGUAUGUGAACUUUGCAUACGAUAAUUAUUCCAAUCCGGUUAAUUUUCUGAUUUUCUUGCUUUCCAGGUUAACAUCACUGGCACGGUAUUCGUUAUAUAAGCGUUGCAGUAAAACCUCAAAGCAAACUUGUUAAUCCUUAACAACACAUACCAUUCUGUAUUCAUCAGAAGUUCUGUCAGUUCAAAAUUAACCGUCAGAGUAACGAAGAAGAGCUAAAAUAAAAAAGGAUUUUUUUAAGUUAGCGUCUGGCAGGAGAAUAUAAUAAGGAAAGUCCGAGGAACUGUUCGGAUAGUGUAAGGCAAGCAAUGAAGCAUAAAGGAAAAUGCAGGCGGGCUAUCAAAUACGAUCAUCCCAAGUGAAGUUUAUAGUUAGCUGUUGAAUUUGUAGUUUUAAAAAUUCACAGCUGAACCCGUUUGUGUCCUCAUGGCUUCACAAAGUGGUAGAGGAAGAAGGUAGUUUCUACCACAGUUCAAACAGGCUCUAAUUUACCCAAGGUAGAAUAAUCUGCAGCAGUUUAAAAAUUAAGCAUUGAUCUCCUGACUCAGCCUACUGCUCUCAUCAGAAGACACGAUCAUUCUUUUAAAGUGUCGACUGAGAUGUUUUAUUGAAUGUCUGAGCUAGCAACAGUGGGGUCCAAACUCCACAAUCACGUAUGUGGUAUUUGACAGCUUUCAGGUUGCAAGGCCAUGUAAGUUUUCUGCUGUUGAAGGCAACAGGCUGCUUUAGGCUGAAUGUCUUUAUGUUAAUCCCAAACCAUAAUGCAAACCCUUGCUUUAUGGGGUUCUGAUGAAGUUUUGAUAUCAGACUAAAAAAUACCUUCUACAUUAAUUUUCUACCUUAUCAAUAGGUUUAGUACCUGGUAACGUACAUUUUGGAAGAUUAAGUACAUUUAUGUUUCUCCAAAUCUGGUCUAUUCAUUGUAACUGUAAUUGUGAAACUAUUUAGGUGAGAUAUAGAUCAUUCGCUUUCGAUCAUAUUGCUGACGCUAUCUUUUGAUUUAAUUACAUUGCAUUUAAAAACCCAUUUAUAAUUAGAUGCUACCUGGCAACAUCUUAGAGGACCUGCCUGUGAGUAACCACAAAGUCCUUCCAACUUCUUUCUGUGAUGGCUUUAAUAAGCUCAGAUAUGGUCUAGCAGCCAACAGACAGAUCACAGCCUGCUGAGUAGAUCAGUAUUAUCUUGCCAUAUUAUUUUUCCCUUGGAAAAGUCAUCUCUUUUUCCUAAGCAUAAGCUGUUUCUUAUAAAAUGAAUGAGGAGUUUGUGCAAAACUUUCUGCUAAGGAGAAAACUUUCAAAGAGCAAUCAUUGCUGUGGCCCCUCAUGCGGCAAUGCUGAUUUCAUGUUAAGAAGCAUCUCUGAAUGGAAGGAAAUCAAUCGAAUCUGUGCAGAGCACAGACAGGAUGUGGAAUGCCAGAUAGGCAUUCGCUUAAACUGUUUGGAGUCAAUGGAGAGAAGCAAAGCACAAUUUGAUCUGUUUUAGGCAUCUUCAGUAGGGUGAGAUGAAUCACAUCUUAAAAAUGGCACUGCUGACUGCUGAGGCCAUUGAGACAACCAGCUCCAAUAUAGGCAUCUGCACCAUAGACAUCCGAAAAUCUCUGCAAAGCUAAUUGACCGGGCUCACAGGAGAUCCUAAUGUGGAACAGCCUUCCUGCACCACCACUUCAGCCUUUCAGACUGGCAGCUUUAUUUAGUCUGAAAAUCCUUUUGAGGAAGAGACCAUCUUUUUACUUGGAAUUAGCAUUGCACUUGCAACCAGAAGUGUGACAGGCAAGGCGGUAAAGCUUCUGCUAACAACAGAAACUUCACCAAGUGAACAUACACUAACAUCCCUCACAGAGCUACAACAGUGUGUGUGUCAGUGCAGCCAGUAGGAUUUAUCAGCGUGUACUUGAACACUUCUGCCUAGAAUGUCGAAUGGCCAAGUAACAGAACUAAAUCCAGUCCUGUCUGUAGGGCACGCAGGCAAAGACUACAAUUCUGUCUCCUUUGAAGUCAGCUGUAAAUCUGUCUUUGGCUCUGAUGGCAACAGCCUUUAAAAUAAGGAGUCCAGAGCAUAACGUGCAUAAGAUAAAAAAGAAAUCACAUUAUUAUUUACCAGCACUUCUCAGACUGUGUGUUGAGGCAUCAUCACUCAGAAAGGAAAAGAGAACAACUUUAUAAGAAACAGUAUUUCACAAUACAUAUAUAAAGUAAACUAAAUAUGACUGGUCUCUGUUGCAGGUGAAACAUCUUUUCCACUGUCUGUUUUUUUACAGUAUUUUUUUUUUCAUGCAUUUUACCACCUCUUUAUGCUAACCGUGGAUGAACUAAUAAUUCCUAUUUUAAUCAAUCUGUCAUCCAUUCUUCUCCGUGCAGGACUUCCUUCCUUAUAAACAUUUUGAUCAGAAAGGGUAGUAUUUCCUUCAUGUUAUGCAAAGCUUGGGUUACAAAUUACCAACCUAUGCAUGUUUGUCCCUUAUUUAUAUAGUUUUUAAAGGAAUAAAAGCUGUCAAAAAACUUGCUCUCCCUGACUUUUUUGGCUUAUUUUUUAAGAUUUCAUUGAUCUGAUUUCACUUUUACCUCAUUUCAGCUGCAACUGUUAACUGAGAUCAAAAUGAUGGAGACUGCCGUCUACUGGAUACUGAGUCAAUGAUGAAAGAUAGCAAAUUUGCCUACUCAGAGGGAAUCAUAGAAUGGCCUGGGUUGAAAAGGACCACAAUGAUCAUCGAGUUUCAACCCCCUGCUAUGUGCAGGGUCACCAACCACCAGACCAGGCUGCCCAGAGCCACAUCCAGCCUGGCCUUGAAUCCCUCCAGGGAUGGGGCAUCCACAACCUCCUUGGGCAACCUGUUCCAGUGCGUCACCACCCUCUGGGUGAGAUUGUCCCCUCCAGCCUGUAUGUCUUACCUAAUCUGUCAAAUCUCCUCGUAGAGAGUAGGACCUCUGUCACUGCAUUUCAGAACAAGGCACUCUAUAACUGGGCAAAUACCGGUGCAAAAACGUGAAUCUUUUUUUACCUGUUGCAUCCACUUUAGCAAUCUCUACUGGCUUCAAAAUAUGCAUGUAAUCCUAUACUGAAUAAUCUCUUUUCAUAUAGCCUGUGCUAAUCUUAACACUAUGAUGUCAUCCAAAAUCCACAGUAUUGGUGAAACAUGUUUUAAUAUUCCAGCUCUUUUGAUCAUCCCUCGUAAAUCAAUCCCUCAAUCUCUUUAAUUAUUUUAAUUGCUCUUCUUUAAAUUCCCCUUGAGUGUAAUUUUCUAAUAGGAAGAUUUCCCAAAAUAUCCCAGGCAUGACUUAGUUAAGUAGUAGGCAAAGAGUAG
ensembl:lncRNA